rnacentral:rRNA from 1 species
GAUGAACGCUAGCGGCAGGCCUAAUACAUGCAAGCCGAACGGCAAGUCUUUUAGCAAUAGAAGACCUAGAGUGGCGUAAGGGUGCGUAACACGUAUGCAAUCUGCCCUCAACAGGAGGAUAGCUCCCCGAAAGGGGAAUUAAGCCUCCAUAGGAUCGUAAUGUGGCAUCACAUAGCGAUUAAACUACCAGGGGUUGAGGAUGAGCAUGCGCAUGAUUAGUUAGUUGGCGGGGUAACGGCCCACCAAGACGAUGAUCAUUAGGGGAACUGAGAGGUUGAUCCCCCACACUGGCACUGAGAUACGGGCCAGACUCCUACGGGAGGCAGCAGUAGGGAAUAUUGGACAAUGGGUGCAAGCCUGAUCCAGCCAUGCCGCGUGCAGGAAGAAAGCCUUCUGGGU